GCCCGGCUAGCUCAAUUGGUAGAGCGUGAGGCUCUUACGACUCUCAAGCAGGUCAGGUAUCUCAAGAUUAGGGAUUCGACCCCUCUCCCCCCCCCGUCG